CUUUGGCAUUGGCAGCGGUCCAAGUUCCUUGGAACAGGACGUCACAGAGGGUGAGAAUCCCGUACGUGGUCGCUAGCCUUUACCGUGUAAAGCCCCUUCGACGAGUCGAGUUGUUUGGGAAUGCAGCUCUAAAUGGGAGGUAAAUUUCUUCUAAAGCUAAAUACUGGCCAGAGACCGAUAGCGCACAAGUAGAGUGAUCGAAAGAUGAAAAGCACUUUGGAAAGAGAGUUAAAAAGCACGUGAAAUUGUUGAAAGGGAAGCGCUUGCAGCCAGACUUGCCUGUAGUUGCUCAUCUAGGUUUCUACCUAGUGCACUCUUCUAUAGGCAGGCCAGCAUCAGUUUGGGCGGUUGGAUAAAGGUCUCUGUCAUGUACCUCUCUUUGGGGAGAACUUAUAGGGGAGACGACAUGCAACCAGCCUGGACUGAGGUCCGCGCAUCUGCUAGGAUGCUGGCGUAAUGGCUGUAAGCGGCCCGUCUUGAAACACGGACCAAGGAGUCUAACAUCUAUGCGAGUGUUUGGGUGUCAAGCCCGAGCGCGUAAUGAAAGUGAACGGAGGUGGGAACCUUUCGGGGUGCACCAUCGACCGAUCCUGAUGUCUUCGGAUGGAUUUGAGUAAGAGCAUAGCUGUUGGGACCCGAAAGAUGGUGAACUAUGCUUGAAUAGGGUGAAGCCAGAGGAAACUCUGGUGGAGGCUCGCAGCGGUUCUGACGUGCAAAUCGAUCGUCAAAUUUGGGCAUAGGGGCGAAAGACUAAUCGAACUAUCUAGUAGCUGGUUCCUGCCGAAGUUUCCCUCAGGAUAGCAGUAACGUUUUCAGUUUUAUGAGGUAAAGCGAAUGAUUAGAGGCCUGGGGGUUGAAACAACCUUCACCUAUUCUCAAACUUUAAAUAUGU
rnacentral:rRNA from 1 species